GUUUGGGAGACAUACUUCUUUAUAUGUCCAUAUGAAAGUGCCAAUGCUAUGGAAUGUAAAGAAGUAUGUAUCUCCGAU
rfam:Xenopus laevis strain J chromosome 9_10L, whole genome shotgun sequence.